CCUACGGGAGGCAGCAGUGGGGAAUAUUGCACAAUGGGGGGAACCCUGAUGCAGCGACGCCGCGUGAGUGAAGCAGUAUUUCGGUAUGUAAAGCUCUAUCAGCAGGGAAGAAAAUGACGGUACCUGACUAAGAAGCCCCGGCUAACUACGUGCCAGCAGCCGCGGUAAUACGUAGGGGGCAAGCGUUAUCCGGAUUUACUGGGGGUAAAGGGAGCGCAGACGGCUGUGCAAGUCUGGAGUGAAAGGCGGGGGCCCAACCCCCGGACUGCUCUGGAAACUGUAAAGCUGGAGUGCAGGAGGGGUAAGCGGAAUGCGUGGUGUAGCGGUGAAAUGCGUAGAUAUUAGGAGGAACACUCGUGGCGAAGGCGGGUUCCUGGACAUUAACUGACGCUGAGGCACGAAGGCCAGGGGAGCGAAAGGGAUUAGAUACCCGGGUAGUC
rnacentral:rRNA from 1 species